UACGUAGGGGGCUAGCGUUGUCCGGAUUUAUUGGGCGUAAAGAGCGUGUAGGCGGCCAGGUAGGUCCGGUGUGAAAACUCGAGGCUUAACCUCGAGAUGUCAUCGGAAACCAUCUGACUAGAGUCCGGAAGAGGAGAGUGGAAUUCCUGGUGUAGCGGUGAAAUGCGCAGAUAUCAGGAAGAACACCUAUGGCGAAAGCAGCUCUCUGGGACGGUACUGACGCUGAGACGCGAAAGCGUGGGGAGCGAACAGG
rnacentral:rRNA from 1 species